rnacentral:rRNA from 1 species
UAGGGAAUCUUGCGCAAUGGGCGAAAGCCUGACGCAGCCAUGCCGCGUGAAUGAUGAAGGUCUUAGGAUUGUAAAUUCUUUCACCGGGGAAGAUAAUGACGGUACCCGGAGAAGAAGCCCCGGCUAACUUCGUGCCAGCAGCCGCGGUAAUACGAAGGGGGCUAGCGUUGCUCGGAAUUACUGGCGUAAAGGGCGCGUAGGCGGAUAUCUAAGUUGGGGGUGAAAGCCCGGGCUCAACCUCGGAAUAGCCUUCAAUACUGGAUAUCUUGAGUUCGGGAGAGGUGAGUGGAAUGCCGAGUGUAGAGGUGAAAUUCGUAGAUAUUCGGCGGAACACCAGUGGCGAAGGCGACUCACUGGCCCGAUACUGACGCUGAGGCGCGAAAGCGUGGGGAGCAAACAGGAUUACAUGAUCCCAUGGCCUGAUGUCCGCAACGCCCGUAAAACGAUGAGUGCUAGUUGUCGGCAUGCAUGCAUGUCGGUGACGCAGCUAACGCAUUAAGCACUCCGCCUGGGGAGUACGGUCGCAAGAUUAAAACUCAAAUGAAUUGACGGGGGUCAUAGCUGUUUCCUG